rnacentral:tmRNA from 1 species
GGGGCAGUCUUGGUUUCGACAGAUUAUUGUGACUUAUGGCGACAAGUGGUAGGGAUACCUUAAAUCUAUUUUUUAAAUAUAAACGCAAAUAAUAAUAUUGCAUUCGCUCCAUCUUUUGCCUAAUUAAGGCCGGAGCACUUCUUUAAUUCCUAUGCCUUUGGGGAAUUACUGAGGGUCAUGUACAAGGGUUAUAUUAUUUAGUGGUAUAGCAUUAAAUAACGAACUCUCAUCUAUUCUAGCUUAUUAAUAGGUGCACUAGAUCCGGUUAAUAAGUAAAUUUAAAUUCUAGUUAAACUUGUAGAUGUUAUAAGAUCAUGUAAUUUGGACAGGAGUUCGAUUCUCCUCUGCUCCACCA